GGAGAUCGAAUCACCGCAACGGCGACGCGACGGCGGCCGAAAUCGAACUUUCAACAAUAUCGGCGGACUUGGACCAGGCCUUGGACUUGGCCCAACAAAUCUCAGCCCAAUUGAGAUUUGUUCUUGCACUGAAAUGGGCUUGCUCUUGGACUUGGGCCUAGCUGCGAUUGGGCUUCAAAAACUGGGCUUGAAGACUGCAAUUGCUGAAAAUAGGCUGGGCCCAAAGCUGAAACUAAAACUUGCUGGGCUUCAUUGGAUUGGGCUUCAAGAGGGCUGAAACGAAUUGCUGGCCUGGGCUGAACUUAAUUGGGCUUGCAACUUGCUGGACUUGAAAUUAAACUGAAAAUGGGCUGCUCUCUUUGGGCUGAAAACUGCUGACCUUGCUGGGCUUUGGAGCUAAAUUUGCUGGGCCUAACUUGUGGCCCAAAAGAAAUUCGCUAGGCUGGAAUUUGCGUGGACUUCAAGUGGUCCAGCUGCUGGGCCGAACAAGAGAAUCCGCAAGAGACGCUGGGCUGCUGAAGUCGGCCAAUGCACGGAAUACACGAAGAAGCUGCUCAAUUGAUGCUGCUGGGUGGACUCGAGAUCAGCGCUGGAGAUGGCAUCACGAAAAUGGAACAGCAGGCGUGAGCUGCUGGGUCAACACGGAGGCGUCCAGCUGAGAACUCGCUGCUUCGUUGACCGAGUGAAGGGCGCCUGGCAGCUGGCUUGAGGCUUCGCUGGAGAGAGUUGCUUCAGUUGGUGGUUUCGUGGACGACUGAACUUGGAGCUCACAGUCAGCAAACUGACCGAGAGAUGCAGCGUGGACUGGAACGUGGCAGCUUUGGCGAGGCUAGCAACUGGUUUCGUCUUCGUGGGCGGCUGAGGCGUGGAGACUUCGGUCAACAAACGGUGGAGGAGAGGGCACCGUUGACUGGUGUGCUGGCGUGGAGCUGAGGGCACGCACUGGGGAAGACUGAAGACGGAAGCUGCUCGCGGACGCUGCUUCGCUGGACGCACGGAGCGGUGAGGAGCUUCAGUCAACAAAAUGGUUUCGGUGCUUGCUGUUGUUGACCGACUCAAGAGAAGACGCUGCCAAGUGGCAGCAAAACCAAACUGUUCGGUGAAGACGCUGAAGACGCAAGCUGGCGGAGGGCGCUCGUGAGUGGGCUGAUGCGGUCAAUCGAUGGGCUCCGUUCUUGCAGGUGUUGACCGAGAGAUGUUAGUUGAUGGGCAAGUGGCGAGGAGCAGCUUAAAUUGAAGAUCUCGUGGCUGGCGUGAGUGGAGUGUGUGGGUUUCGGUUGAGGAAGAGAAGUAACGGAGAUGGAGAGAGAUUGGAUGGGGAUUGCUUCGCACGGUAGAGAGAUUAAAACAAAAGCAGGAAUAAUGAGCGGAUGGGAGGGUUGCCGAGCGUGAGAAGCCAGCUAAGAGGAGACAAGAAAAAUCAGAAAUCUUAGCCAAUACAUUUAAUGUUUUGGCCCCACAAGUCCACCAUACACUCCUCUUUGUCCCCCCAAUCAAUUUCAAGCUUAUCAAC
rnacentral:lncRNA from 1 species